CGAGCGUUCGGACGGUUUGCUAAAGCCGUAGUUGUGGAUUAAAAACUGAUUUUAUGUGUUUUUAGCUUCACUGGCGAUCAUUUAAGAUGUUUGUGACGGACAUUAGGAAGGAAUUUUAUGAUGUUGUUGUUAACCAGAGAGUGGCUCUCCUUGUAUCAGCGGACAUUGAUGCACUGUGUGCUUGCAAAAUCCUCCAGGCCUUGUUUCACUGUGAUCAUGUCCAGUAUACACUGGUUCCUGUGACAGGAUGGCAGGAACUGGGAACAGCCUUUUUGGAACAUAAAGAACAGUACUGUUAUUUUGUCUUAAUUAAUUGUGGAGCAAAUGUGGACCUGUUGGAAACUCUCCAGCCUGAGGAAGACUCUAUUUUCUUCAUCUGUGACACUCACAGGCCUGUCGACGUGGUGAAUGUCUACAACGACACCCAGAUCAAACUUCUAAUUAAGCAAGAUGACGAUCUAGGUGUGCCCUCCUAUGAUGAUAUUUUCCGGGAUGAUGAGGAUGAUGGUGAUGGAGAGGAUUCUGGGAACGAAAGUGAUGACGGCUCAGAGCCAUCUGGAAAAAGGCGUCGUUUUGAUGAGGGAGCGUUGGAACGGCGAAUUGAGCGUCAGCGAGCUCGGAGAGAGUGGGAGGGUCGCAGGCGGGAUAUCCUGUUCGACUAUGAGCAGUACGAGUACCAUGGCACUUCAGCUGCAAUGGUUAUGUUUGAGCUGGCUUGGGUUAUGACCAAAGACACAAAAGACAUGCUUUGGUGGAGCAUCAUUGGUCUGACUGAUCAGUGGGUUCAGGAAAAAAUCACACAUAUGAAGUAUGUAACGGACAUAGCUACUCUGCAGAGGCAUGUAUCUCGUCAUAACCACCGUAACGAGGAUGAAGAGAACGCCGUCUCUAUUGACUGCAUGAGGAUCUCUUUUGAAUACGACCUGCGGCUGGUUUUGUAUCAGCACUGGUCUCUGUACGAGAGCAUUUGUAACUCCUGCUACACGUCCUGCAGUUUUAAGCUCUGGUCCAUCAAUGGGCAGAAGAAGCUACAGGAGUUCCUGGCAGACAUGGGCCUUCCACUCAAGCAGGUACGACAGAAGUUCAACUCCAUGGACAUGUCAAUCAAGGAGAAUCUGCGGGAGGUCAUUGAGGAAUCCUCUAAUAAGUUUGGGAUGAAGGAUAUACGCGUACAGACCUUUGGAGUGCACUUUGGCUUUAAGAACCGUUUCUUGGCUGCUGAUGUGGUGCAUGCUGCUACAGCCCUCCUGGAGAACGUAGAGAAGGAAGAGAGUGCCACAGACAACUUUAUCAAAGCCCUAGACUGCCUUUCAAGGAGUAACAUCGAGAGGCUGCAUUUAGGGAUCGAUCUGGCUAAGAAAAAGCUGAAGGCCAUCCAGCAGACUGUAGCCAGCUGCAUUUGCACCAAUCUUAUUCUUUCACAAGGACCCUUUCUUUACUGCCAUUUACUAGAGGGUACACCAGAUGUAAGACUGUUCUCCAAGCCUUUGGCUCUGACGCUGCUCUGCAAAUACCUGCUCAAAGCCUUUGUCUGCUCUACUAGAAAUAAGCGCUGCAAGCUGUUACCACUUAUUAUGGCGGCUCCGAUGGAUGUGGAGAAGGGAACCGUUAUGGUCCUGGGCAUUCCACCAGAGUCAGAGACGUCUAACAAGAAAAACUUCUUUGGAAGGGCGUUUGAGAAAGCAGCUGAAAGUACAAGCUCAAGAACGCUGCAUGAUCACUUUGACACUUCAAGUGUGAAGAAAUUCUACUGACAAGCUGUUUUAAAAUCUAGUGUGUGAGAUACAGCUGUAAUCAGAACUGUUCAACCGCUUAUUACCAAGACAUCUGUUAUCGAGCUGAAGAUGGAGGACAAAGGAAAGUUUCUUGAUGCACUCAUCACCCUCUUGUCAUAAGGCCCCACUGCAUGUCAGGAGCAUUACUCAAACAUCACACGCCAAAAGAAUGUCAAGCACUGGGGCUGUUUAUGUACGUCUGUCAGUUCUCACAUUUCGUCCGAUUCGACCACAGGCAGGAAGACCUCUCCUCGGUGCGUGGAAUUUUAUACCAUGUGUGUGUUCCCGGUCAGUUUAGUGCCAAAUUCUUUUUCACUUUUUACUGGUGUGUGAAAUAAGAGUCGGCUUCCUGAAGACCUCCGACACAUGCGUACACACCCUCUUACUGCAGGCGUGUUGCUCCUUUUACCCAAAUGUUUAUCCAUGAUCGUGCAUUUGUAUCAUACUGUACAGGUACUUUUAAUGUUUGCUGUUUUUUAUCUGUGUGACUAUCAUAUACUCAAUAAUAAAUACAGUUUUAUUAACUUAUACAA